rnacentral:misc_RNA from 1 species
AAAAACUAAUUAGAUGGAGUAAAAAGUUAGAGAUAUACAUUAAUAUAACUGUAAAAGUACAAAGAUCAACUAGUAAUUAUGGUAAAAACCUAGAGACCUUAUUGUAAUUUACCCUAAAAAGAAAAGGAAAGCUUCAGAAUGUGCAAUUAAAAACUAAAUGUACAAAUUGUGUGCUAAAAAGCACAAGUAGACAAAUAAUAGAUGCAUCUUCAUGGGGGGCAAAUUGCGAUAACUUCCCUGGUAAUGGGGAUUAUGAAUGACAAUAAUGAAAAGAAUCAAGGUACAGAUAUGCUCUUCACACUAUACACACUGGUUUCACUGUUGUUUUAUUUAAGGCCUUUUCCUUCAUCUUCAUUCAAAAUGCGAUUCCGGAAAUCAUUCACCAUGAGGGGCAACCCAUCUCUCAAAGAAAUUUUUGGCUCCCAGUUCAGCAGCUCCUUUGCUUUGCUGAUAUCUGGUUUCCUCUUGUGUGGAUCAUCAGCAGUAUUUGGUCUAAAUUCUAUUGUUGCACUUGAAUCAAUUGUUUCUUUGACAACCUCAGCAAGUUCCAGCAUAGUGAAUUCCCCUGGGUUGCCAAGAUUGAAAGGCCCCACAUGCUCACCUUCCAUUAAUGCUACCAGUCCAUCAACCAGGUCAGAAACAUACUGGAAGCUCCUGGUUUGUUUCCCAUCACCAUAAACAGUCAAUGGUUGUUUGCGGAUGGCUUGAGCAACAAAAUUGCCGACAACACGACCAUCAUCCAAACACAUACGAGGUCCAUAAGUAUUAAAAAUGCGUGCAAUGCGGACCUGCAAACCACAAAAGUUAUCACUAACCCAAAGGGUAAUUGAGAGAAUAUAGGAAGGACUAACCACUACAAGGAAACAAGAAAGAUACAUUUCAUCACCACCCCUUUUCAUAUAAAAUUAGAUCAGUUACAUCACAUUGAUUAGGGCUAUGCAAACAAUCGAUACGAUUCCAACCCAAAUCAAAAUAACCAAAAAACUAAAAAGGAAAAUUAUAUAAACUGAACUGAAUAGAUUGCAUAACCAAAUUGAAAUGAACCAAAUUUCUUCAGAAUCUGUCCAUUCAAUCGCUUGCGGGCCAUUUUCUCUUGAAAGAAAUACAAAAUCACAGAAUGCAAAAUUUUCAACUCUCUCAAAUCCUUAAUUGCAAUUUGCAAAUGCAAGAAGACAUGAACAAUAAUCAAACAAAAAUAUAAUAAGAAAUACAGAGUCUAACCCCUUAGUCCAUUACAGGAUCAACCCAUGAGCAAAAAGCCAACAACACAAAAUAUAAAAAAUAUUGAAUCAACCCAUAAACAACAAUACAGAAUUAAACAAAAAUACAAUAAAAAAAAAAAACUAAGAAAUUAAAAGCAAACACGUAGCACAUUACAGGAAGCAAAAGUAUUAGCACUCAGCCGUAACGAGGAGAUAUCUUGUCAGUAGCAAGACCCAGAUAGACAAGAACGAGAACCAGAACAGGAAGAACAAGAGCAGACCAACAAGAGGAGAGAGUUGUGUGUGAUGGUCGAGGUGAGGCGAGGAAAGGGGCCAGAGUCUUCGUCUUCUGCUGUUGUCUCCUUUUGAUGUUCUUCCUCCUCACAUGAACCUCCUUCUUCUACUUAUGUCGUCUCCUUUUGGAUAUAGAAGAAGACAAAAGCCUAAGAGAGAGAGGGAGAGAGCUUUGAGACGAGAAUUGAGAAAGGGAGGCGGUGAAGGGGAAGUAAGGGACAAGGGAGUGAAAGCGUGAAACAAAAGAUGAUUAGUUGAGAGAAAUUAGGGUUGGAACUUGGGUAAACAAAACCACGCCUUUAGUCUUGGAUUUGCGUACAGAAACAAAGCAGGCAGCAACAUCAACAUGCAUAAGGCAUCAAACUUUGAUUAGUUCUGUUAAGAUCUAUAAUUGACUUGAGAUAAAGGGUAAUGUACUUUAUAGGGCUUGGACACUCUUAGUGCUUGAGUAUUUCCCCCUUGAGCUAGCUUUAUGAGAAUAAAUUAUAUUCAGCCCAUUUUCUUGGUAUCACAAUCUUUUUAACUAAUAUUUGUAGCUAAGUGUUUGGAUUUCUAGGUGUUUGAUCCUAUCAUGAAAGCAAGGGAAUAUGUUAAAAUCCUCAUUCAUUUAGGAUAAGAAUAAUAUCUUUUAUAUGGCUUUGGACUCUCUUUUCCCUUUAGAACCGGUCCAUUUUCUUAAAAGGUUCAAUCAGUUCAUUUUUUUCUUUUUACUAAACUAACUGAAUAAAAAACCAAGUUUUUCUAAAAGGAAAAAAAAAAGACACUGAAUUGAUUGGUUCAGUUAUAAUCCAGUCCACUUCUACUCAAACCCAACAUUGAUCUUGUACAGCACAGAGGGCCCCAUUGAAAUAUGAUAACAGAACCAAAAUGAAGCUUAGAAGAACUAAAACUUGAUAAUUUUUCCAGAAACAGAUAAGCAAAAUCUUUUGACUUGCAAAGGGAAAAUGGUCUUACAAACUACGAAAGCUCCAGCAGCUCAUCCCAGCUUGUCCACUUUGCACCUCUAGAUUUUCCAUGACAUACAAAUUUUUUUUUUUCAAUACAACUUAUUCGUCUUAUUGAUUAGGUCAGAUUUGAACCUAACUCAAUGUUUUGGGAUGACCAAAGGAAGAGAAAGGGAGAUUAUUUUUUUCUUUGGGCCCACAAAAAUCACUCUUCAAAUUGAAGAGAAAAGGGAGGAGUAAGUACAACAUCAAACAGCAAACUUUCUCAAAUUUACAUAUUUGCCCUCGUUUCAGCCUCAGAAUGUCACUCCACACAGAAACAACGUCAUCCGCAUUUAUUUUCACCAAUCUAUUUUUCUGUCUGAAUUUCCCUGUCUCCCUAUAACCAUUUCAAUUCAAUCAUGCCCAAAUGAAAUGGGGAAUUGGGAAAAAAUAGUUUGUCAUUAAAUGAAAAAAAGAAAGGGAAAGAAACAGAAGAUAGAAUCUCUAUUAUUGUCUGUGCCAGCAGUGGCAAGAUCUGAAAAUAUACUGUGUGAGAUAAAGAAAUCUCAAAUGAUAAACAAAUUAUGAAAUGAGAAUGACGAAAAGGGUGAAAGAUAAUGAGAAUAUAAACAAUAAUAAUUAAAUUAACAGUAAACCAAAGAGCUUAGCAUACUGUGUGCGAAAGUCAGUUGUGAGUUUUUAACCAACAAUAAUAAAAAUGAAUUGAGUUGAGUAGAAUAAUAAAAAUGAAUAUCGAGCUGGUGCAAUGGCAGCCUCAUGUAAGAAUUUAUUAAUUUCAUUUCCAUAUGUCCCGUGCACAACAUUUCUUUAUAUAUUUUACUUUACUAUUCUUUCAUUCUAAUUGUUAAUUUAAUGUUACAGGAAAAUCAUUUUCACGCUCUCUAUUUCUUAUCCAGUAAAUGAAGGAUAAAUUUGUAAUUUGCAUUUUACAAUUUUCUUUAUUCUCAUUUUCCUUUGAUUAAAUAGUAGAGAUUUACUUUCUCCUCAUUUUAACUUCCCAAUUUUUUUCCAAUCCAAACAAGGAGAGAAAAUUACAAGUGGUGAAAAGAACAACCUAAAUUAGGAUAUCAUAAAUCUCACUCUUGUUAUUUAAACAGGUGUACAGAAUUCUAGCAUGUCAUUUAAAUAGGUGCAUGGAAUUUAGCAUAUUCAAAUGGCUCAGAAAAUUGAUAACCUUUACUGCAAAUGGAGAUUUUUCAAGGCGAUAGGAAUUAGGAAGAGAAAGAAACGCCCCAAGGUCUUCCCCCCCAUCCCAUAAAGGGAAAAUAAACAUAAUAAAGGAAACAUCAACAAAUAGACUCCAGCUUCUAAAUUUUUAAGAAGAAAGAAUAGGAAACUAACGUGGAUAAAUAUGUGCCUCAAACAAAAAAAAAUAUAUAUAUUAUCCAAUGGCUCGUGAUUCAUUCAAUUAGUGUUCCAAGAAGAUGAGUUUCCAAAAUAUGUGUGCAACGCAUAAUAAAUUAAGUGCAUUUUGUGAAAAAUUAUUGUAACCCUUUUUUUUUAACAACAGAUUGUUACUGAUACUUUUUGUUAAGCACAUUAUGCAUAGUUGUUCAACCUUUACAGUUAAUAGUUCAAGCAUCAUGGAUACCAAAAAUAAAUUGAACACAAAUCUUUAGUUUUUCCAAGUUAUAUUAGUAGAAUGUUAAUUGCCCUCUAUAAGAUUAAAUAACAAAGUAAAUGUCAAAUACUUCCAUCAAACUUAAUGCGUGGAAUCAAAUUAUUCAAGCUUUCAAGAAAUGGGUGCUUCUUGCGAGCACAAGUCACACAAGUCUUGCAUACUUAUUCAUGAAAGAUGACACAGAAAUCCAGAGACGAUAGGUUGUACAUCCCAGAAUCACUUACCCCUAAAUUGUUUAUAUAGAGCUGACUAUAGACAUACACUUAUGUAGACGCAUCUAGCUGCUAGAUAAAUGCCUACUACUGAGCCCUCAUGACACUUUGAACAAACGCACAAUAUGCAAGGAUGCAUAACAUUUCAGAAUUCAACCAUUUUUUUUUCAGACGGAUGAAAGCAGCAAAAGACUAAAAGCGGAAAAAAUAUAAAGUAUUUCUAGUGAAAUAAAACAUCAUGACAGGUCACAAUAGCUUAUAUAGAGUUAAAUAUCAGAACCAGUU